AAGGAGUCUAACAUCUAUGCGAGUGUUCGGGUGUCAAACCCCUACGCGAAAUGAAAGUGAACAGAGGUGGGAGCUUCGGCGCACCAUCGACCGAUCUUGAUGUCCUCGGAUGGAUUUGAGUAAGAGCAUAGCUGUUGGGACCCGAAAGAUGGUGAACUAUGCCUGAAUAGGGUGAAGCCAGAGGAAACUCUGGUGGAGGCGCGCAGCGAUUCUGACGUGCAAAUCGAUCGUCAAAUUUGGGUAUAGGGGCGAAAGGCUAAUCGAACCAUCUAGUAGCUGGUUCCCGC
rnacentral:misc_RNA from 1 species